GUAAAGAUGAAGGAAAUAAGGGUUACGAUUUGUGGUCGAUUACAACGGUCUUGAAAACCGUCGUACCGAGAGGUACCGGGGGUUCGAAUCCCUCUCUCUCCG
rnacentral:tRNA from 1 species